GUCUACAGCCAUGCCACCCUGAAUGUGCCUGAUCUCAGAAACUAAGCAGGGUUGGGCUGGUUAAUACUUGGAUGGGAAACUAAAAUGGAAAUUUACCCAAAGGCCUUUAAUCC
rfam:Heterocephalus glaber contig212535, whole genome shotgun sequence.